AAUACUACUGCUACUGCACCACCCCUCCACUACUAAUAGAACUAACCAAACUACUGCUUUGACUUCUAAACUCCAGCGUUUUAGUUGGAAGAAUUUGAUGGGGGGGAAAAACAUAGAUAUACCAUUUCUUAAGAUGAAGAUGUAUUGAUUUGCUGAUCUCAAAAUGGAUGAAGUGGCUGUUUUUUU